rnacentral:rRNA from 1 species
GACGAACGCUGGCGGCGUGCUUAACACAUGCAAGUCGAACGGAGUGGCGAACGGGUGAGUAACACGUGGGUGAUCUGCCUUGCACUUCGGGAUAAGCUUGGGAAACUGGGUCUAAUACCGGAUAGUGCAAGAUGAGCUCUCGGCCUAUCAGCUUGUUGGUGGGGUAAUGGCCUACCAAGGCGUCGACGGGUAGCCGGCCUGGGAGGGUGUACGGCCACAGUGGGACUGAGAAACGGCCCAGACACCUACGGGGGGCAGAAGUGGGGAAUAUUGCACAAUGGGCGGAAGCCUGAUGCAGCGACGCCGCGUGGGGGAUGAAGGCCUACGAGGUGGAAACUCCUUUCGACAGGGACGCGGUACCUGUAUAAGAAGCAACGGCGAACUACGUGCCAGCAGCCGCGGUAAUAC